rnacentral:rRNA from 1 species
CCCUUAGAUGUUCGGGGCCGCACGCGCGCUACACUGAAGGAAUCAGCACGUCUUUCUCCUUGUCCGAAAGGACUGGGUAACCCGCUGAACCUCCUUCGUGCUAGGGAUUGGGGCUUGUAAUUCUUCCCCAUGAACGAGGAAUUCCCAGUAAGCGCGAGUCAUAAGCUCGCGUUGAUUACGUCCCUGCCCUUUGUACACACCGCCCGUCGCUACUACCGAUUGGAUGGUUUAGUGAGAUCCUCGGAUUGGUCCCGGAGCGGCCUCUGGUCGUGCCGGAGUGCCGAAAAGAAUGUCGAACUUGAUCAUCUAGAGGGAGUAAAAGUCGUAACA